CCUACGGGUGGCUGCAGUGGGGAAUAUUGGACAAUGGGCGAAAGCCUGAUCCAGCCAUGCCGCGUGUGUGAAGAAGGCCUUCGGGUUGUAAAGCACUUUCAGUGGGGAAGAAAGCCUUGGGGCUAAUACCCUCGAGGAAGGACAUCACCCACAGAAGAAGCACCGGCUAACUCCGUGCCAGCAGCCGCGGUAAUACGGAGGGUGCGAGCGUUAAUCGGAAUUACUGGGCGUAAAGCGCGCGUAGGUGGUCUGAUAAGCCGGUUGUGAAAGCCCCGGGCUCAACCUGGGAACGGCAUCCGGAACUGUCAGGCUAGAGUGCAGGAGAGGAAGGUAGAAUUCCCGGUGUAGCGGUGAAAUGCGUAGAGAUCGGGAGGAAUACCAGUGGCGAAGGCGGCCUUCUGGACUGACACUGACGCUGAGGUGCGAAAGCGUGGGUAGCAAACAGGAUUAGAUACCCGUGUAGUC
rnacentral:rRNA from 1 species